CUGAGUGGGAGCAGCUGCCUGUGCGCAGGCUCCUGGCCCACCCCAAGUGCAAAGGAAGCUGCGUUUGCUGAGGCCACCAUCUGUGCUGCUAGCAGAGCUAGCCAGCUUGCGUGAUAUCUCAGAUUUGGAUCAAGGGGAAAAGGAUGACUUUGCUAAGUAGCAGGAAGAUUUUGUAGGCUGGAAUUGGCCCCGGGGAACAAUUACAAACCUUCUGAGCAUGAUGUGGUGUAACGCUCAGCAACGUGGAGGCAAGGGCUGGUGGGAGAGCAGAUAUAAAUGAAUACGAAGGAAGUGCUUCAUCUUUUCUAGGAGCUCAACCUGAGCAGCUUCCAGCUGAAUGUGAGAGAGAGGACUUACACCUGGCUCAGUUUUGCUCAUUUGUUGUCAGAAGCAGCCUCUUGCUUCAGUUCAAGAUAAUUGGCUGCAGCAAGACAGGCCUAAUUACAAGAUGAAGCCCAGAAUGAUCUAUUAGAACAUGAUUCCCGGCUGAAGAUAAGAUUGAUGAUGGUCCAGUGUGCAGGACCAUCCUAGUGAAAGAGGAAGGUAGUGCUGGUUUAUGAGUAGAGCCUUCUAUAGCUGGUUCUGGUCUCCUCAUUGACAAUUAUUUGCAGCUGAUUUUAUUUCUCCCCUUUCAGAAUGAUGAGGGAAGAAGAGGCUGAUCCUGCUGACCUCCUGUGUACAUUAUUUGGCAGCCACCCAAGGACAGUGCUAUGUAAAAAGCCAGGUGUUGUUGUUGGCUGAUAUUGUUAAUGCUGUUGCUGCUGUUCCAUGGCGUAGAGGGAUUCUGUCCUACUAGAGUAAGGGUUGUCUAACCCUUAUGCUUACCGUAUGUUAAAAAAUGUUAUGAAAAGACGUAUUUACCAGGUUCUCAUCUAUCUCAGAGGAAAUGGGAGGAAGGCCGAUGGGUAGAUCCUUUAGGAUUGUAUUAGGAAAGGAAGGGAAUUGGCUCUAUGCUGUGGUUAUUUGGAGGCUUAGGAAAUGAGGAAGGGGGCAGCCUGUCAUUUACCAGCAGCUCGUUAACAGCAAUUCAGUGUACACGGCUGAGCCUGUGCGAUUGACUCUAUGUAAGCUAAUCAGA
rnacentral:lncRNA from 1 species